UCCUACGGGAGGCAGCAGUGGGGAAUUUUGGGCAAUGGGGGCAACCCUGAUCCAGCCAUCCCGCGUGUGGGAUGAAGGCCUUCGGGUUGUAAAGCACUUUUGUCAGGGAAGAAACAGC
rnacentral:rRNA from 1 species